AGAGUUUGAUCCUGGCUCAGAACGAACGCUGGCGGCAGGCCUAACACAUGCAAGUCGAGCGCCCGCAAGGGAGCGGCAGACGGGUGAGUAACGCGUGGGAACGUGCCCUUUGGUUCGGAAUAUUCCCGGGAAACUGGGAGCAAAACCGGAUAAGCCCUUCGGGGGAAAGUUUACGCCAAAGGAUCGGCCCGCGUUAGAUUAGGUAGUUGGUGGGGUAACGGCCUACCAAGCCUACGAUCUAUAGCUGAUCUGAGAGGAUGAUCAGCCACACUGGGACUGAGACACGGCCCAGACUCCUAUGGGAGGCAGCAGUGGGGAAUCUUGGACAAUGGGCGCAAGCCUGAUCCAGCCAUGCCGCGUGGAUGACUGAAGGCCCUAGGGUUGUAAAGUCCUUUCGACGGGGACGAUAAUGACGGUACCCGUAGAAGAAGCCCCGGCUAACUUCGUGCCAGCAGCCGCGGUAAUACGAAGGGGGCUAGCGUUGUUCGGAUUUACUGGGCGUAAAGGGCGCGUAGGCGGAUUUUUAAGUCGGGGGUGAAAUCCCGGAGCUCAACUCCGGAACUGCCUUCGAUACUGGAAGUCUGGAGCACGGUAGAGGUGAGUGGAAUUCCGAGUGUAGAGGUGAAAUUCGUAGAUAUUCGGAGGAACACCAGUGGCGAAGGCGGCUCACUGGACCGUUGCUGACGCUGAGGCGCGAAAGCGUGGGGAGCAAACAGGAUUAGAUACCCUGGUAGUCC
rnacentral:rRNA from 1 species